rnacentral:rRNA from 1 species
UACGGAGGGUGCAAGCGUUAUCCGGAUUUACUGGGUUUAAAGGGUGCGUAGGUGGGUAGGAAAGUCAGUGGUGAAAUCUUCGGGCUUAACCCGGAAACUGCCAUUGAUACUAUUUAUCUUGAAUACUUGGAGGUAAGCGGAAUAUGUCAUGUAGCGGUGAAAUGCUUAGAUAUGACAUAGAACACCAAUUGCGAAGGCAGCUUACUACACAGUUAUUGACACUGAGGCACGAAAGCGUGGGGAUCAAACAGG